UACGUAGGGCGCGAGCGUUAAUCGGAAUUACUGGGCGUAAAGCGUGCGCAGGCGGCUUUGCAAGUCGGGUGUGAAAUCCCCAGGCUUAACCUGGGAACUGCAUUCGAGACUGCAUUGCUAGAGUAUGGGAGAGGGAAGUGGAAUUUCCGGUGUAGCGGUGAAAUGCGUAGAUAUCGGAAGGAACAUCAGUGGCGAAAGCGACUUCCUGGACCAAUACUGACGCUCAUGUGCGAAAGCGUGGGGAGCAAACAGG
rnacentral:rRNA from 1 species